rnacentral:rRNA from 1 species
UACGAGGGGGGCAAGUGUUGUUCGGAAUUACUGGGCGUAAAGGGCGCGUAGGCGGUUCGUUAAGUCCUGUGUGAAAUCCCCCGGCUCAACUGGGGAACUGCACAGGAAACUAGCGGGCUUGAGUUCGGGAGAGGGAAGCGGAAUUCCGGGUGUAGCGGUGAAAUGCGUAGAUAUCCGGAGGAACACCGGUGGCGAAGGCGGCUUCCUGGACCGACACUGACGCUGAGGCGCGAAAGCUAGGGGAGCAAACGGG